UAGGGAAUCAUCCACAAUGGGCGAAAGCCUGAUGGAGCAACGCCGCGUGUGUGAUGAAGGGUUUCGGCUCGUAAAACACUGUUGUAAGAGAAGAAUGACAUUGAGAGUAACUGUUCAAUGUGUGACGGUAUCUUACCAGAAAGGAACGGCUAAAUACGUGCCAG
rnacentral:rRNA from 1 species